rnacentral:rRNA from 1 species
GGAAUUUUGGACAAUGGGCGCAAGCCUGAUCCAGCCAUGCCGCGUGAGUGAAGAAGGCCUUCGGGUUGUAAAGCUCUUUCGGCGGGGACGAAACGGUCCGUGCUAACACCACGGACUAAUGACGGUACCCGCAGCAGAACCACCGGCUAACUACGUUCCAGCAGCCGCGGUAAUACGUAGGGUGCAGGCGUUAAUCGGAAUUACUGGGCGUAAAGCGCGCGUAGGCGGCUAAGUAAGCCGGUUGUGAAAGCCCCGGGCUCAACCUGGGAACGGCAUCCGGAACUGUUUAGCUAGAGUGCAGGAGAGGAAGGUAGAAUUCCCGGUGUAGCGGUGAAAUGCGUAGAGAUCGGGAGGAAUACCAGUGGCGAAGGCGGCCUUCUGGACUGACACUGACGCUGAGGUGCGAAAGCGUGGGUAGCA